UAGGGAAUCUUCCGCAAUGGGCGAAAGCCUGCCGGAGCAACGCCGCGUGAGUGAUGAAGGUCUUCGGAUCGUAAAACUCUGUUAUUAGGGAAGAACAAAUGUGUAGGUAACUAUGCACGUCUUGACGGUACCUAAUCAGAAAGCCACGGCUAACUACGUGCCAGCAGCCGCGGUAAUACGUAGGUGGCAAGCGUUAUCCGGAAUUAUUGGGCGUAAAGCGCGCGUAGGCGGUUUUUUAAGUCUGAUGUGAAAGCCCACGGCUCAACCGUGGAGGGUCAUUGGAAACUGGAAAACUUGAGUGCAGAAGAGGAAAGUGGAAUUCCAUGUGUAGCGGUGAAAUGCGCAGAGAUAUGGAGGAACACCAGUGGCGAAGGCGACUUUCUGGUCUGUAACUGACGCUGAUGUGCGAAAGCGUGGGGAUCAAACAGG
rnacentral:rRNA from 1 species